rfam:Lactobacillus jensenii JV-V16 chromosome, whole genome shotgun sequence.
GAUCAAACCUACGACGUGGAGGUCUGUAAAUAACUACUGAAUCGGAAAACUGCCAUUGAGCAGGAUCCAUAUUCACUGCGAUACAGACCA